rnacentral:lncRNA from 1 species
GCUGCAAGAGAUGAGCAUGGCUGAGAACAACGCUCCCACAUCCUAGAAUGAAGCUUCAAAGGCAGCAUGAGAACUGAAACUGACAUGGAGUCUGCUCGCCCUUUUAGAGGCCACUAUAUACAGUAUAUUGUUAAAUGACUGUCAUCUGGCAGGUACCGUAUGAAACAUUGGUCUGAUCCAGAUUUUAGUUUAUGACCAUUACUACCUGUGAUAGAAUGUUGCCCGUGGGCAUAUGAUAUACAUGUGUGGAGACCAUUACUACCUAUGAUGGAAUGUUUCCUGUGGGCAUAUAAUAUAUGUGUGGAUAUAUUUACAUUUGUGAGCGGUAUGUCCUAUCGACGUUAUGCAUUGCCCGUGUUCUCGUUCAAGGAAGGUCUUCUCUGGUUUAAAGGAUAGGAAUAGGAAAGUCAUAUGAAAUGAGGUGGCAUACAUGUCAGGUCCUAUAUGAAAAAAGAUGCCAUUUGAUUCAUAGGAUGAGAUUUUUCCAUUAGGUUUGUGCUAAUGUUUUUUUCUUUGAAAUGUGUAGGAUAUAUAGAGACCAGUCCUACAUAGGAAAUCCGGUCCUACAAACUCUAUCGAAAAUUUUCCUAUAGCAAUCCUAUCCUACAAAAUUCCUACAAAUAAAAGGAGGCCUAAGUUUUUCUCGAAUACGCACGAGUGUGCAUAUCAUUCUUUAUAGAAGAAGGGGAGAUAGAGUCCCAAAAAAAGUCCACUUUUACAAUCUUACAUGCUGGAAAACCCCAACCCCACCUUAGUCCACCCUAUACCUAGACGGAUUACUCACGAGUGUCCCACCUGCUACCUAGCGCCUCAAAACCUCUUGUAUUGUCCUUGAACAUUCCUGCUUUUGCCCAGAGCAUUCCUUCCUCCCUUAGGCAUUCCAGAACUCUUGUGAGUGAGGGGGUGGCUCCAUUGAAAACUAUGUCAUUGCGGUGCUUCCAUAUUGUCCACAUGGCGAGGAUGCAUUUUGCUCUUGUCGACCUCCGGUGCCUUGGGUCUUGGUCUUGCCUAACACACUAUUCCUUAAGGGCUUCAUCCUGCAGCGGCUCGAGUCCUGGGCGCCCGGUCAUCUCUCUCAGCUCGUGCCAAACUUGUCUUGCAAACACACAACUGAGUAGCAAGUGUUGUAUGGACUCCUCAUGCUGAUCACAGAAGGGGCAAGUAUCCUGGUGCGGCAAUCCUCGUGUGGCCAAUCUAUCUGAGGUCCAACAUCUGUUCUUGUUCGCAAGCCACAUGAAGAAACGACAUUGCAGCGGCACUUUGGAUUUCCACGUGAAGGCCGCCGUCGGCGACACUUCAAGUCCCAUGAAUUUUGCCGCAUACGCAGAUCGUGCCGAGAAGCUACCAUCUAGUUCCCAGGCCCAGGUAGUCUUGUCUUCCACCUCUACCACUAGCUGCGUGCCCUGGACCCUUUGCCACAAGUCCAGGAACUGCCCUAGGGCCCUGCUCGUUAGGUCUGGGCUGAUGUCACCUGCCCAUGCAUCAUUUGAGAGCGCUUCAACAAUCCUUCUGGUGUUCUGGAUCCUCUUUGGUAUAUGAUCAUAUAUGUAUGGUGCCAACUCGCAUACCCGAUGACCAUCUAACCAUCUUGAAAGCACAAGUGCUCCCUGGGUGGUUUUGGUAGUUAAUUUCAACAUAUCUCUUGUUGGACUAAUGCUUUAUCUAGAAUAUUUCAGACAAGUUCAACAGAUGGAGUGGCAUGGACAACAGGAUGUGGAACCCCUUCAAGGUGCUAAGGACAAAAGAUUGGCUCAAGCUCAAAAGCUCAAGACUCUACAUUUUACUUUUAGUGAUCCAAGAUCACAUUGAGUCCAUAGGAAAGCCAAUACUAUUAAAAGGGGAUGAGGUGUUUCUUAAUGGCUUGCUUGCUCAAGUGCUUAGUGAUAUGCUCCAAAACCCUCAACCACUUUUUCAUAUCCACAUAUGUCCCAAACCAAUAGUCAAACUCGGCCACACCGAAUCAUCUAUCCGGCGCCACCGAGUUCUCUUGACAUAGCCACUGUCACAAACACUAGUCAAUUCGGUCUCACCGGUGGGAUCUGGGUCUCACCGAGAUGGGCUUGCAAACUCUCUGGUUCCUGUUGCAAUAAAUUCGGUCUUACCGGGUUUUGUAAUCGGUCUCACCGAGUUUGCUUGACCAACUCUCUGGUUAGCUCAUUACCAAAAUCGGUCCCACCGAGUUUGUGUAAUCGGUCAAACCGAGAUGAGGCUUUACCCUAACCCUAGCACAUCGGUCCUACCGAGUUGAUCAUAUCGGUCCCACCGAAAUGCCUAACGGUCACAUUAUGAACUAAAUCGGUCUGACCGAGUUUCAUUAUUCGGUCUCACCGAGUUUGGUGAUUUGUGUGUAGCGGUUAGAUUUUGUGUGGAGGCUAUAUAUACCCCUCCACCCACUCUUCAUUCGUGAUGCGAGCCAUCAGAACAUGCCUACACUUCCAGCAUACAUUUUUGAGAGAGAACCACCUACUCAUGUGUUGAGGUCAAGAUAUUCCAUUCCAACCACAUAAAUCUUGAUCUCUAGCCUUCUCCAACUUGCUUUCCACUCAAAUCAUCUUUCCACCAAAUCCAAAUCUGUGAGAAAGGGUUGAGUGUUGGGGAGACUAUCAUUUGAAGCACAACAGCAAGGAGUUCAUCAUCAACACACCAUCUAUUACCUUUUGGAGAUUGGUGUCUUCUAGAUUGGUUAGAUGUCACUUGGGAGCCUCCGUCGAGAUUGUGGAGUUGAGCCAAGGAGUUUGUACGGGCAAGGAGAUCGCCUACUUCGUAAAGAUCUACCCUAGUGAGGCAAGUCCUUCGUGGGCGAUGGCCAUGGUGGGAUAGACAAGGUUGCUUCUUCAUGGACCCUUCGUGGGUGGAGCCCUCCGUGGACUCGCGCAACCGUUACCCUUCGUGGGUUGAAGUCUCCAUCAACGUGGAUGUACGAUAGCACCACCUAUCGGAACCACGCCAAAAAUCUUCGUGUCUCCAAUUGUGUUUGCACACUCCAAUCCCAUCCCUUUACAUUCUUGCAAAUUGCAUGCUUUAGUUUCCGCUGCUCACAUACUCUUGUCAUGCUUGCUUGAUAUGUAUUGUGAAUGUUUAAACUUGUGCUAAAACUCCACCUCAACUUGAAGAAAUAAAAAACUACAACUUUUCUUGCUAAGAGUCUAUUCACCCCCCCCCUAGACACCUCUUCUCGAUCCUUUCAAUUGGUAUCAGAGCUUUGAUCUCCAUUUCUUUGGGGUAAACACCUUUGGAGGAAGAUGGAUGAGUCUACGUUGGGGAGUCUUAGACGUAGAGUGCCUAUUCUUGAUGGAGAGUACUUUCAUGAGUGGAAAAUGAGAUGCUUGAGAUUUUCAAUGAAUAUCACUUGAACAAGUACAUUACUAGUCCUUGCAUUCCCCGUAGUGAUCCUUUGCAUCCCUCUCCCGAUGAGGAUCUUGACAUGAUUCGCAAUCUUAGAACUAUCAAUCUUAUCAUUAGAGGAUUGCCAAAAAAAUUGAUUGCUAGCUUACCUGCUCUUGAUUGUGCUUACACCAUAUGGAGAUUUCUUGAGGAACGAUUCCCAAAUUAUUCCUUGAAAAAUCUAGAUGAGAUUCUCCAUAAGUCUCUUGCCUUGAAUAGAAUGAGUACUAUUGAUCCUAAGUUUGAUGAGUGCCUGUUUGAGCUUCGUGAUCUCAUGCGUGCCAAAGGAGAUGUUGGAAUUAUUAGCAAUAUCAUUUCCGAAGUCAUUAGAAUCCAUAGAGAUGAACAUUGUUACGGUCAUACUUCUAGUGAAUCACCUUCUCUAGGAAAUGAUCAUAUGUUGAACAUGGAUACUAUGAUGAGGAUGAUGAUAAUGACUUUGAUCUCGAUGAGUCUAUGAGACACUUUGGUCUUAUGGCAAAUCUUCGCGGCUACAUGGCUGGAGGAAAGGAAUGGGUCCUUGAUAGUGGAUGUACCGAUCAUAUGACCGGAGACAAUGAUAUGUUUUGUGAGCUUGCUGAAAACGACAGCCCUCGGAAAUAUGUCACUUUUGGUGAUAACUCAAAGGGUAAGGUGGCUGGCCUUGGUAAGGUGGCCAUCAAACAUGAUAGCUCCAUACAAAAUGUUAUGCUCGUUGAAUCUCUUGGCUACAAUUUACUUUCCGUAUCUAGACUUGCUGACUUUGGUUUCAAUGUCCUAUUUACUGAAGUAGAUUGCCAAGUGUUUCGUAGAGACAAUCAUAAAAUGGUCUUUACCGGUAUACGUAGAGGUGAUCUUUACAUUGUUGAUUUCACUAAAAAGGCACCUAGAACUUGCUUAAUUGCUAAAUCUUCGAAAGGCUGGUUGUGGCAUAGAAGUUAGGUCAUGUAGGCAUGCGAAAUCUUGAUAAGCUUAUUAAAGGUGAUCAUAUCCUUGGAGUGAAAGAUGUUAUAUUUGACAAGGAUAGAUUGUGUAGUGAUUGUCAAGCAGGAAAACAAGUAGGAGUAAGUCACCCCGUGAAGAACACCAUGACCACGAGAAGACCGCUCGAGCUACUUCAUAUGGAUCUCUUUGGUCCCAAUGCCUACAAAAGUCUCGGUGGUAACUCAUUUGGUCUAGUCAUAGUCGAUGAUUUUUCAAGAUUUACGUGGGUGUUCUUUCUUGAUGAUAAAUCGCAGGUCCAAAAUAUCUUCAAGAACUUAGCUAGGAAGGCCCAAAAUCAAUUUGAAGUGAAGAUCAAGAAGGUUCGAAGCGACAACGGAACGGAGUUCAAGAACGCAAAUGUGGAUACCUUUCUUGACGAAGAAGGUAUCUCACAUGAGUUCUCGGCCACGUACACACCUCAACAAAAUGGAGUUGUUGAGAGGAAGAACCGGACUCUUAUUGAGAUGGCGAGAACGAUGCUUGAUGAGUACAAGACUCCAAAACACUUUUGGGCGGAAGCGGUUGAGACAGCUUGUCAUGCAACAAAUCGCUUGUAUCUUCACAAGCUACUCGGCAAGACAGCAUACGAGCUCCUCACCGGUAACAAACCCCAAGUUGGAUACUUUCGAGUAUUCGGCUCAAAGUGCUACAUUCUUGAUAAGCAUCAUCGUUCUAAAUUUGCUCCCAAAUCUCAUGAGGGUUUCCUACUUGGUAUGGCUCAAACUCUCACACUUACCGUGUCUACAAUAAUUUCACCCGAAAGGUUGAAGAAACGGUAGAUGUGAAGUUUGAUGAAUCUAACGGCUCGCAAGUAGAGCAAUUGCCAAUUGAUGUAGGAGACAAAGACCCUUCGGAAGCAAUCCAAGACUUGUCUAUUGGCAAGAUUCAUCCAACAGAGGUGAAGGAGAGUACCUCGUCCGUCCAAGUGGAAGCUUCUACCUCACGACAAGGUGAACCAAGAGUUGACAUGGAAGCAUCCACAAGUGGGACACAUCAAGAUGAAGAAAACGAGGAAAUGCAUCAAGAUGAACCACAUCAACCUCCUUCUCCACCAUGACGAGAGAACGACAACGUCAACAAUGAAGAAGGCCAAGAAGAAGGACAAGAUGAUGAAGAAGAUGAUCCACCCUGACCCAAGCAAAAGCUCUCACGACUUCGAGCAAGAGUCUCAAGAGACCAUCCCGUCGAACAAAUCUUCAAUGAUAUUCAAACCGGGAGAAUCACUCGCUCUAAAACUCGUUUGGCUAACUUUUGUGAAUAUUAUUCAUUUAUCUCUAGCAUUGAACCUAUGAAGGUUGAAGAAGCAUUGGAAGAUCCGGAUUGGAUAAAUGCCAUGCAUGAAGAGCUACACAACUUUGAGAGAAAUCAAGUAUGGACAUUGGUCGAGAAGCCCGACAACAACCACAACAUCAUUGGUACCAAAUGGGUGUUUCGUAACAAGCAAGACGAAGAUGGUCAAGUCGUCCGCAACAAAGCACGUCCGUCGCCCAAGGCUACACUCAAGUCGAAGGUAUGGACUAUGGUGAGACAUACGCCCCCGUUGCUAGACUUGAGUCCAUUCGCAUCUUACUUGCCUAUGCUAAUCACCAUGAUAUCACCUUGUACCAAAUGGAUAUCAAAAGUGCUUUUCUAAAUGGUGAAAUUGAGGAGGAAGUUUAUGUUAAACAACCUCCCAGCUUUGUCAAUCCUAAGAAACCCGACCAUAUUUACAAACUUCAUAAAGCUCUUUAUGGUCUUAAACAAGCUCCUAGAGCGUGGUAUAAAUGCUUGACCAAGUUCCUUACUGAAAAAGGCUUUGAGAUUGGAAAGAUAGAUUCUACUCUUUUCACUAAAGGGGUUAAUGGUGAAUUAUUUGUCUGCCAAAUUUAUGUUGAUGAUAUCAUAUUUGGUUCGACUAACCCUCAUUUCAGUGAAAAGUUUGGAAGCUAAUGUCGAGGAAGUUUGAGAUGUCUAUGAUGAGUGAACUCAAGUUCUUUCUUGGUUUGCAAAUCAAGCAAACAAAGGAAGGCACCUUUGUUUCUCAAACAAAGUACACCAAGGACUUAUUCAAGAAGUUCAACAUGCAACAAAGCAAAGGUAUGAAAACGCCCAUGCCUACUAGUGGACAUCUUGACUUGACCAAGGAUGGCAAAUCGGUUGACCAAAAGGUUUAUCGCUCUAUGAUUGGUUCAUUGUUAUAUCUAUGUGCCUCUUGUCCCGAUAUUAUGCUAAGUGUGUGCAUGUGUGCACGAUAUCAAGCAGCCCCCAAAGAAUGUCAUCUUAAGGCUGUGAAAAGGAUAGUGAGAUACUUAAUACAUACACCAAAUUUUGGCAUUUGGUAUCCCAAGAGGUCUUCUUUUGAUCUUGUUGGCUACUCCGAUUCGGACUAUGCCGGAGACAAGGUUGAUAGAAAAUCAACUUCGGGUACGUGUCAAUUUCUUGGUAGACCUCUUGUGUCUUGGUCCUCCAAGAAACAAAACUCGGUAUCCUUAUCCACCGCCAAAGCGGAAUACAUUGCCGUCGGUUCAUGUUGUGCUCAAUUACUUUGGAUGACCCAAACUCUUAAAGAUUAUGGGAUCAAUGUGAAACAUGUUCCAUUGCUUUGUGACAAUGAGAGUGCUAUUAAGAUUGCUCACAAUCCCGUGCAACAUUCUCGAACUAAGCAUAUUAAAGUUCGUCAUCAUUUCAUUCGAGAUCAUGUUGCUAAAGGGGACAUUGAUCUUAAGCAUGUUCGUACCGAUAAGCAAUUGGUGGAUAUAUUCACCAAACCGCUUGAUGAGAAAGUAUUUUGCCGUUUGAGAGGUGAAUUGAACAUCAUUGAUGCUUCAAACUUGGAAUAGGAACUCCAUGUGGAUACAUGCAAGGCAUGAGCCUAUGACUAAUCCUUGACUUUUUUCUCUUAUGAUCAUGAUCAUAUGUCUCGGGUAUAUUUGUACCCUUGCAUGCUAUCUAACCCUUGUAGGUACUUGGAUGAAUCUAAAUCCAUGAGAUUGCAAUCCACUCACAUCUUGAGCAAUCUCUACAUCACCAAGUUUCUACACCACGGUGGUUGAAGACAAGGAAGCAUGAAACCCUUCAACAUAUCCUUUGACAAAUUCUAUAUAUAUCAAAUUUCAUUUGGUAUCAAAUUUCAUGAUUGUCAUGUUGGAUACACAAGUGCUCUUCCUUGCAAGACUAACCCAUGUAGGUAGAUGAACUCAAACUAUGAGUGGUGCUCCCAACCAUUGAUGCGCUACAUCAACCUUGAGCACUCCACACAAGUUCAACUACAUGAUAAAGUUCAACACCAUCACCCAAGGUAUGCUAUUCCAUCUCAGAUAAGCUUUACCCCAAGUUAUGGGUCAAAGCAGCUCAACAAGAUGUGAAUACAUCAAAUGCUUAAACGAAAAAUGGCAACCCCAUUUUGAGCUUUAACGAUGAGUAUGACUUGUGAUCAAGUGUCCUCACUUGACUCCUCAGUCAAUAUACUCUAACAUAGGUGACUUUGUCACCGCCCAAUUCUAGAUGAAGUUCUCUAGUGUUUCUCUGAGUUCUUGCAUUUGUACUUUGCAUAUUUGAUCCCCUUCUUUCUAUCAAAUAAACUUCAUAUAGAUUUUCUUUUCUUUUUGUCAGUUUUGUUCUGCACUUUUGUUCCAGCUCCACUCAAUGAUUCUUGUCCUCUACCAGCAUCAUAUUCUAUAUGCUGCUUUGCUCUGUGACUCACGGACGAAACCUAUCUUGACUCACACUCCAGAAGACUUCUUCUUGGAAAUUGAUGUCAAAGGGGGAGAGAGAGCACAUCAAAGCUUAUUCACUUCAAAAGGGGGGAGAGAGAGAGGAAUAACAUCAAAGGCCCCAGAUGCUUGGUGUUCAAGAAGAGAGAAGUCACAUGUCUUUAAGAGGGGAAAGCCAUGUCAAUUUGUGUUUUGAUUUGUUAUCUGAUCUAUUUUGCUCUGAUUUUGUUUCCCUAUUUUCUCCCAUUAUCCAGUAUAAGAUUCAGGGGGGGAGACUGCUAGGGAAGGAAAUCUUGAAUUCAUUGCAUAUCCUUUUAUCUUUGGGGACAUGUCUAUAUCAAACUAGAGUACCUAGUACUCACUCUCUACAUGUCAUCCCAGUCUUGGUACUCUUGUGGCUCUUUUGUUUGCUCUGUCUAGUAGUUGUAUCUGCGUUAUCUAACCUUGUUUACUCAGGUUCAUCUCUUCCUAAGUCAACCCAAGACCACAAGGUAAGUAUAUGCAUCACACUCAUGUGCAUGAUGAUUUCUUGCUAAAUGUACAUAUUGUUUGCAAGAAGGAAUCAUGAACAUGAAGUUACAACUUCAUAUAUUCACAUCAUUUUCUCUGAUGCAUAUAGCCAAGAUACAUGUAACUCAUUGCUUGCUCUGUCAUGUUUAUGCAUUCACAUGCUCGUAUAUUCCAUAUUGACAUGAUUGCAUACAUGUAGGGGGAGCCUACGCAUGUUACAUGUCUUUCCAAAGCUUUACUUGCUAUUUUCUAUAUCUUUAUCUAAAGCUUUGAUGUAUGUUUUCAUCAAUUACCAAAAAGGGGGAGAUUGAAAGCACAAGUGCUCCCUGGGUGGUUUUGCUAAUUAAUGUCAACAUAUCUCUUGUUGGACUAAUGCUUUAUCUAGAAUACUUCAGACAAGUUCAACAGAUGGAGUGGCGUAGAUAAGAGGAUGUGGAACCCCUUCAAGGUGCUAAGGACAAAAGAUUGGCUCAUGCUCAAAAGCUCAAGACUCUACAUUUUACUUUUAGUGAUCCAAGAUCACAUUGAGUCCACAGGAAAGCCAAUACUAUUAAAAAGGGAUGAGGUGUUGCUUAAUGGCUUGCUUGCUCAAGUGCUUAGUGAUAUGCUCCAAAACCCUCAACCACUUUCUCAUAUCCACAUAUGUCCCAAACCAAUAGUCAAAGUCGGCCACACCGAAUCAUCUAUCCGGUGCCACCGAGUUCUCUUGACAUAGCCACUGCCACAAACCCUAGUCAAUUCGGUCUCACCGAUGGGAUCUGGGUCUCACCGAGAUGGGCUUGCAAACUCUCUGGUUCUUGUUGCAAUAAAUUCGGUCUUACCGAGUUUUUUAAUUGGUCUCACCGAGUUUGCUUGACCAACUCUCUGGUUAGCUCAUUACCAAAAUCGGUCCCACCGAGUUUGUGUAAUCGGUCAAACCGAGAUGAGGCUUUACCCUAACCCUAGCACAUCGGUCCUACCGAGUUGAUCAUAUCGGUCCCACCGAAAUGCCUAACGGUCACAUUAUGAACUAAAUCGGUCUGACCGAGUUUCAUUAUUCGGUCUCACCGAGUUUGGUGAUUUGUGUGUAGCGGUUAGAUUUUGUGUGGAGGCUAUAUAUACCCCUCCACCCACUCUUCAUUCGUGAUGAGAGCCAUCAGAACAUGCCUACACUUCCAGCAUACAUUUUUUGAGAGAGAACCACCUACUCAUGUGUUGAGGUCAAGAUAUUCCAUUCCAACCACAUAAAUCUUGAUCUCUAGCCUUCUCCAACUUGCUUUCCACUCAAAUCAUCUUUCCACCAAAUCCAAAUCUGUGAGAAAGAGUUGAGUGUUGGGGAGACUAUCAUUUGAAGCACAAGAGCAAGGAGUUCAUCAUCAACACAUCAUCUAUUACCUUUUGGAGAGUGGUGUCUCUUAGAUUGGUUAGGUGUCACUUGGGAGCCUCCGUCAAGAUUAUGGAGUUGAACCAAGGAGUUUGUACGGGCAAGGAGAUCGCCUACUUCGUGAAGAUCUACCCUAGUGAGGCAAGUCCUUCGUGGGCGAUGGCCAUGGUGGGAUAGACAAGGUUGCUUCUUCGUGGACCCUUCGUGGGUGGAGCCCUCCAUGGACUCGCGCAACAGUUACCCUUCGUGGAUUGAAGUCUCCAUCAACAUGGAUGUACGAUAGCACCACCUAUCGGAACCACGCCAAAAAUCUCCGUAUCUCCAAUUGUGUUUGCACACUCCAGUCCCAUCCCUUUACAUUCUUGCAAAUUGCAUGCUUUAGUUUCCGCUGCUCACAUACUCUUGUCAUGCUUGAUUGAUAUGUAUUGUGAAUGUUUAAACUUGUGCUAAAACUCCAACCCAACUUGAAGAAAUUAAAAACUGCAACUUUUUCUUGCUAAGAGUCUAUUCACCCCCCCUCUAGACACCUCUUCUCGAUCCUUUCACAUCUAUCCUCCCAGAACAGAGCGCAUUGGCCGUUGCCGACUGAGGUCUUUGCCGCAUCAUGGUAUAGGGCUUGAGACUCGGCCGGUACCUCAAUGUGGAAAUCUGCCCAUGGUCUUUCCUUGUCAUUCUUCUGCAACCAGGGCCACCUUGGUUGUAAUGACUUGUACAAUUGUAUACGGAGGUCUAGGAACGUCUGAAUCUCCUCUGAUGUAGUGUACAUGAGCAUUUACGUGAAAUUCUUGUAAUUUUUAUAUGAAAUUGUGUUUGCUAUUUACAAUUUUUUUGGGAAGAGAAGAUGGUGAUGCGGAGAUGGGUGAUGCAGCCGGGCAGGGUCAUGGGGGCUUGUCUAUGACAAAGUGGAUGAUGAACUUAGAGGGAUGGCUGGGAGCUACGGCAGACCAAUAGAGGUGGUGGCUUGGAGAGGGUGUGGGGCAGCAAGGAGACCGGCAAUUCGGAUGGCAUUGAAGGCAGCAGGAGGAAGAAGCUAGGAAGGAGAAAAUGGACUAGCCCUUGGAUUUUUUCCAUGUGAAGCGCGACAAAUUUUUUGUUUAUAAGGAGAGCUCCCUCUCUGAUUUCUAUUAAUAGAAACCACAUUGUCCUACAAACUACCAGGAACUAAAGCGAAACUGCUACACAUAAUAGCAGCAAAAGGAACGAUGCACAAAUCCAACCUGGUACAUAAAAUGGGUUAUCCCAUCUGCCCAUCAGGAUUGCAGGAAACGUGAUAGCAUCAAUCUGGUAUGAUGAAGGCCAUGGCGUCGACAUAGAUCGCGCGGACAGGGUCCGCUUGGGUUGAUGUCAACCCUGUCUCCCCUGUCUGUGGUGAAGGUGAAAGAGCCAGAGCUUAGGCUCUCCCCCGGCGGGAUACCGUAGGAGGCCAGAGAAGAUCUGAUCUGAGAUCUGUCACCAGCCGACGCUUCCGAUGCCUGACGUGCCAACUAACGAUGUGGAAAAGCGUCAGUACCCUCUGUAGGGUUACUAGCGUGUGGUUAGAAGUCUUAGAUAAGAGGUCACACGGUGGUUUUACCUAGGUUCGGGCCUCUAGUGAGGAGUAAUACCCUACAUCAUGCUUGUCAUUGUUAUGCAUGAUGCGUAUACCUCGUGCGGAGGGAUUAUAAGGGAUUGUGUGUAGUUCUACCGACAGUUGAGUCUAUCUGAGAAUAGAUGGGAAUGAGAGCCCCCUAGCCUCCCCUUAUAUAGGCGGUUUGAUCUAGGCCGCCGCCAUCAUAGACUUGGAGACCAAGAUGACCCGGAGACUCUUAUCCCUUUCUCCAGGCUCCUUCCUAUCGUCAGGUACUUGGUGGGCCUCCUAGGCCCUCAGGCAGGCCUACAGCCUAGCUCCCUAUGGGUGAGCCACCCCUAGAACCUGGUGUAGUGUACCGUUAAGUGGCAACAGUACAAUAUGUGUCUCUCCCUUUCUGUCACUAGGAUAUAAAUCACCGCAAGAUUAGAACCCAUUACAAUGGACCACUCCCUUUGAAGAAAGACCCACUGAUCUUGGCUGAAGAAGAUAGAUAGAUCGGAGAUCAUACAAAGUUAUUUAAUUAUUCAACAAAGAAACCUCAAAAGAUUCGAUUGAAUUCAAUGAACAAUCUGAUCAUAAAGUGAUAAUUCGUCAUAUCCCAACAAACACACCACAGAUUACAUCGAAUUGAUCUCGAUCAUGUGAGACAGCUCACAGGAACUUGGUAUUGAAGACCAAAGAGAAAGAGCCAUCUAGCUAUUGCUAUGGACCCUAAGGUCCUAAGGGAACUCACACAUGGUCAUAGAGGUUGUAAGAUCGAUGAAGAAGCCUCCCAUGGUGGAUUCCCCUCGAGCAGAGUGUCGGAACAGGCCUCCAGAUUGGAUCUCCAUGGAACAGAAACUUACGGCAGCGGAAAAAUUUAGAGAAAAAUCUUGCAAAAGGUUUCGUGCAAUAUGGAAUUUAUAGGCGGAGGAAUGGACGCAAGGCGAUGCUUGUGGGGCCCACACGGCCAUGGGGCGCGGCUUAGGCCCUGGCUGUGCCUCCAGGCCGUAUGAAGGCCCUGUCCCCUCUCGCCUGUCUUCAGUGCUUUCUGGAACCUUCGUGCCCCAAAAAAUUGUAUUAAAUCUUCAAGGUCUUUUUACCUUCGUAGAUAUUGAUGUUCUGUAAAGUCAAAAACAUGCAGAGAACAACAACUAGCACUAAAUUAAUAGGUUAGUCAACAAAAAUAAUAUAAAAUACUAUAAAAAUAUAAAAUGAUAUUGUAAUAGCAUGAAACAAUUCAAAAUUAUAGAUAUGUUUGAGCCGUAUCACCUGACACCUUUAAAAUUCCCAAAGUUUAUCCCAACCACACCAUUAACCUUGAUAUUAAGUGUUUCUGCCUUAACAACUGCAACAAACCAAUUCAUUCAUGUCUCAUUAAAUCCUCCUUCCUUCGGACCAUAGGAAAGAAAAUUCCAGUCCACCUUGUCAUGAGCCAUUUCAAAAUCUUGUUUUAGCCAAUGCUUAAAAUAUCGUCUGAUUUAUUAUCCGAUUUAUUGCUUAUCGGCGGUGACCUCUAAGAUUACACCUUAUCUUUGCUAUUUAUCAUUUGGGCUGAUUUAUCGCUCUGACAAGCAAUUAAUCAGGAAUUUAGUGAUUAAUCGGUCGGGCCCUAUGGUCAGAAACCCCAAAACAGGGCCUCCCCUUCACUAGCCUUUCGCACAUCACACUUCAUUCCGCGUUCGAUAGGACAUGCAUCGUAGUGUUGUCCUAUUUUAUUUGUCACUGACUCAUUUUUUUGACAUUUAAUAUGAAGUUAUAUAGUAUUGAAAUAGUGUUGUCAUACUUGAAGGCUUAGAGCACGCUAAUGGUUGUUUCCAUUUUUACCUUAUUAGGUCUUGGAACGUGAGAAUUGCAAGCAAAAACUGGCCGAUUCCAUUAUUUAGAGAGAAAAUUCAGUUUGUCCUUCUUCCCAUUAGCAAUCCUAUGAAAUUAACUUGUGUUAUUGCCCCCUUUAAAAAGCCAAUUUUCACUUGAUCUUCUAUGCAAGUACUCUUCCUCGUCUUCCAAAGAUUCACAAAUGGCACUUUAAAUCUCGUCACAUUUAAACAAAAUGUUUAUUUCAAAAUUUCUUCACAGGGAAAUAAUGCAUUGCCGAAGAGACUCAGAAACUUUUUUCUUCAAAAAAGACAAAGGAAAUCAUAUACUAAAGUCAACCAACCCUUACAGGCCAUCCUUAAAUAAAUUAAAAAUUAAACACAUGUCUUUGCGGAAUCAACUAGGGCUGGACAAGAAGCUCAUAGCUCGCGAGCUUAAUGAGCGCUCGAGAGUUUGACUCGUUAAGCUCGUGGAUCGCUUCUUAAUGAACAGAGCCAAUCAUCGAUUUCAACUCGUUAAGCUUAACGAACGAGCUAACGAGUUUCACGAGUAGCUCGUUAAGCUCGUUAGUAACAACACAACACGUAUUUUCAACUUAUGUGACAAAAGUUUUGUAGCACCUCAGCCAUCUAUUCAGUCUAAUCUACAUAGGAGGCAACAAACUAGUGCAUUCCCCUUUGUAGUCACCUCCUUCUUAAAAACCACAUCUAAACACUCAUCCUAUAGAUCGUAAACACAUUAAAAUAUGUUAACGAGCACUCUCGAGCGCUCAUGAGCUUAACGAGUUUCAAACAAACCAAGCCAAGCAGAGUUUUCUGCUCGUUAAUAUUAACGAGCUUAAAGAGCCGAGCAGCUCGUUAAUCCACCCUUCUUGUUUCAGAGGUUUAGGGGUGUCAUCGAGCUUCACUCACUAUGCACCAUUGGGAGUGCAACCUCUGAAACAACAUCAGAGCCAGAUAAAUGUUGUUGAUGCAGCGAGCAGGAAGUUAUUGGUUGGAGCCAGAAGACGUCGUCGAUAUUGAUCUGGGAAACAUAUCACCAUCCAGAAGAAGACACGAUGAAGUGGGCUAGAGGACUACCCAAAUCCGGCUAGACAUGUUCGGGGAGGCCUUACCUUAGAAGCUCCCUGAUGAUGUCAAAGUUGUUUGAACGUCGCCGCUUGGAGAAGGAGCCAGAGGACUAUGACACGAAGCGACACUGUCCGGUCUGUCGGAGGAUGCUUUUGAAUACCACAUGCAUAACACGGAGACACAAUCCAAUCCACCACUCCAGAAAGAGCAGUGACCGGACGACUCACACUCUCCUCUAUGUCAUCGAUGAGACCAUCGCUGACAAGGAGGAUCGAGAGUUGGGGGGAUCUUAUUCUUGAUCCACAUAACAUUGCCAUCAUCACCACAAUGCUACCACCGGGGAGGGAAACUCUAACUCUAAAAGACCUAACCACAAUACCACAAUGAAUAUCCAAGAUCCCCACUGUCAGGCUUGGAUCGUGCAACUAAAGAUAUCUCCCAAGCUGCCGACCACAAGUCAACACAUACCAAUUUAGUUAUCAAAUGUGAGGAUGCACCAAAGGAGACACGAUCAACGACGCUGGUUCAAGAUAUUAUGACAGUUGUUUACUUAAUCACCGUACAUUUUACAUUACCUAAGAACAACUUGUACAUCACUACACUAACAACCGCUUCGGAGAAGGUAAGAAGAGAAGAGAUUACAUCCUGUCCUAGACUUGUAGUUAGGUUGUCUCUUCUUCGCGUAUAUCCCGAUCCACCAUUCGUGGAACCCUAACUUCUCCUCAAAAUCCCCAUUAAUUCCUCUUGAAUUUGAUCAGAAAUUCAUUGGGGGCUUUACAUUCACCCAUCUCGACAUCAAAGCGGCAUGCAAAUGCGAAGGGGACCCGUAGCCUGACCUGCGGGGAGCGGGUGGAGCGGUGGCGGCUGUAUAGGGCCCGCAUAGAGUUCUCUUGGGUUUUUUUAUAGCAAGUUCUCUCAGUUUAACAUUGCUCGCUGUCAUGUUUUUUGUUGUUUGGCACAAAUGAUGGAAUAAAGUGUUUGCCCGACGAGAUAUAAAAACAGAAAAUGUUCUAUGUUCAAUAUUAGUAGAAAAAUGUGACCAUUCACAAAAAAGAAAGAAAGAAAAAAGUGUCCUAAAACAAAACGGUAAACGUGACCUUUGCGUGAUGCCCCCCGGAUGAACCGUCAUUGACCUGACCUGACCGUGGACCGUCGGACGCGUCGGGAGCCAGAUCUCACUCCACCACUCGCACCCGUCCCCACUCCCCACCGCGUAGCCCUCCUCCAUUUCGUCGGCAGCCCAAAAACCCUCGGGGGCGAAGCGAGGGGAGGACGGCAAUGGCGGAGGCGAGCCGCAGCCACCCGUCGCGGUACGUGAAGCUGACCAAGGACCAGGACGCUUCCGCCUCCGGCCCCGGCGUGGAGGACAUCCGCCCCGGCGAGCUCAACCUGCCCGUCGCCGUCCCGCAGGUCGGUCUCGCCAUUCCUCGCGCGAUCCUCGUUUUCUUCCGGUUGCUGCUGCUGCGAUUGUUUGUUCGGGGAAUCGGGAUGCUCCGAUCUGAUUUUGGGCGGUGUGACUAUAUAGCUGGAGCGGAUGAAGUGCUUCGAGUGCGGGCAGGUGCUGCCUGAGAGCCACCGGGCGCCAGCCGACGAGCCGUGGACAACCGGCAUCUUCGGGUGCGCCGAAGACCCCGAGAGCUGUAAGUGACGUGGAAUUUCCUUCUCGCCUUUGCAUUUGCUCCCCCCUUCAACUGCCUAGCCUAGUUCUGCUACUUCCUCCCGCAGUCCCGCUCUAGACGGGUCACACCUUCAAAAUUCGUGGUAGUUCUCAUGUGCUGAUAUGCCAGAGUUGGCAGGAAUUUUCAUGUGGAUCUGCACAGGAUGGGGUUGUGUUGCUGUGGUUGAGCUCAGGGUUUGUGGCUAUUACACACAUUGCACAACUCAGCAACUAGAUGUUUGUUUCCAUGGCAUUCAAGUGUUACUGAAGUGUCACCGACAGAGGCUAGGUGUUUUAGUUUUAAAUCCUUUAGCGGUCCUGCGUAUUAAGCACACGCAGGUUUUUAUUAUGAAGCCCGUACAUCAAGUGAAUCUCUCUCUAGUAAAGAAAAGAGGAACAUCAUGUGUGCUGGACAAGGAUGGUGUGCAUACACCUCCUAUCCUCCUCUUUUUUUUCAUUUAGUUUUUUUUUCAUUUUUUGCAUGUGUUUGUUACAGACUGUUUUUCAGCACGAAAGAUGUUUCUUUUUAAAUUUUAAUUACAAAUUAUAACAAUAUCUAUAUGCUCAUAGAUCAUUGUGAAAUAUUUCCACAUUAGUUUACUGAGCAGUUGCAAGUCAGAAAUUUGGUGACCUCCUUUUUACGUGGUACCAGUUGAGACAGUUUUCAAACAGAGAUGCUUUGCAAAUUUGAAUUUUCUUCCUCUCUGUCAUUUUUUCAUUAACAACCGUGAACUUAAUCAAGGAACAAACCAUGGUAGACUAAACAUAUAGUCAAUUAAUUCUUUCUCAUGCCUAUGAGAAAAGCAUGGUUGAUAUUUUACAUUGCACAUAUAACUCAGUUGUAAACUGGAGCCAACCCGAUGCUGAUUUAUGUCUUAUACUACACAUGUAACUCAAAUUUAUAAUGUGGAGUCGAUCUGAAGCGUGUCUGCCCUACAUUUAGGAGUAUUUUACCUAGACUAGAGGGGUAGAGGUUCAUGACUGAACAGUCCAAAUUGAGUACUUCUUAAAAAAUUUAUAGCUUGCUUAGGAGUACUUCUUUAUUUUGAAAUGUUAAUUGUUCACAUACACCUUUUUGUAUCAUAUUGCAAACCUUUAUGGUUUGCAAAUUUGAAGUUCUGUUAUCUUUUUGGUCUUCUAUUAUCUUUGUAAAAUUAGCCUGUGAUGAUGUGCUCAUGUGGGAAGGGAUUAGGCACUGGUCAUUGUCUGAAAGAAAUAAAGAGUAGCAGUCGUAACGUCUGGCUUCGAUUAUCAUGUUCUUAUUGUUAAAGACGACCCUUCUUUUUUCCGUAUUGGAAAAGUUCUUCAAAAUGUAGGGUGUGUUUGGUUUUGAGCCAAAGCUGGCCUUGCCAAAACAUUGGCGUGCCGAUGAGUUUUGGCUGUUGUUUGGUUGGACACCAAAUAUUUGGCUUGCCCAACCCAGCCGGCGUUUGCCCAUGCAGUUCUCGCCAGUACGCGGGCGAGCUGUGGGGCGAGUUCGUCCACCAAAAUAUGGGCUGCCAGCCUGCUAGCAUUCCCGCGUAUUAUGGUUCGGUCUUACAUGAGCCGGAAAAUUAACUGGCUAGCUUGUAUACGCCUCCUCUGAUCGUAUUGAUCAAGUCGGCUAGUACGUCUGUUUCACUCGGUCAAAAGCCUGUACAUGCUGCUUCUCUGAACUUUUCUUUACUGUUCUUUUUUGUGAAUGUUUGAUCAUCAUGAUUUAUGGGCUGCUUAUAUAAAAAUUUCAAGUUAAGACCUCAGAUGCUGAUAUGUGGCAUGUUAAUUGGUUACAAACCAAACUGAAACCCAACCAUUUUGCCAAAAAAAUGGUGCGUGCUAUGGCUACAAUGCAAACAACACUACCACAAAAAAAAAUUGUUCAUGCCCUUGCUUUGGCUAUGCCAAAAUUUUGGCAGGGCAAGUUGGGGCACAAACCAAACAGCCCCGUACACACUUCUACAGCUGACUGUUGGUUAUCAUUUUAGCUCUUUUAGGCUCUUUGCAAAAUCAACGUGUUGUGAGAAUGUGCUCAUAUUGAAAAGAAUUUGCAACUAAAAUUGUUUCAAAGAAGCAAAAAUUAGCAGUUGUAACGUUUACUUUUACUACAAUGCUUUUGAUCUAAAGAUGUCUUUCUUCUUGAUCUGUUUGAAAGUUCUUGUACGUGUACACUUUCCCACUAUAAGUGUUAAUUGUGAUAAACUGUUGAGCACAUAAAUGACUGCGUCGUACAUGGCCGAAACCUGAAAGCUUAAUGGAAUAGCUAAUUCUUUUUUCUUUCUUGACUUUCAUAGGUUGGAUUUAAAAAAAAAUUCUUGUAGUGAUGGAUCUUGUAAUAUGCUCCGAUGUUCCUUAUGCCGUUCUUCUGAACUUGAACACAGAGCAGCUGAAUCUCUAAAUCACAAGAGGGACCAUCUCCAGGUUUACUGAAGAGUUGCUGAUAUUAAUCUAAGCACUAAAAUGACCACCAUAAAGUUUGCGGAUGUGUCUACUAAUCAUAAUUGCUCUUAGUCUAUUACUGACUUUCAUUCAUGGGGCCUUCUUAUUCAAAUUGUGUCAUCAUAGGGUUUGUGAUGUUUGUACCUUUGUGCUUCAGUCCGUGCAGUUUUCAUAUAUAGUACUGCUAUAUUCUGAGAUACUUCUGAACCACUUACGUGUCUGAUCUUCUUACUUUUUUAGGCUGGACUGGACUAUUCUGCCCCUGUGUUUUGUUUGGACGAAAUAUUCAGGCCCUUAGAGAAGAUAUCCCAUGGACAACACCCUGCACUUGCCAUGCUGUCUGUGUUGAAGGUGGCAUUGCAUUGGCAAUCCUUACGGCUAUAUUCCAUGGUGUUGACCCAGACACAUCAGUCCUGAUUGGUGAAGGCCUGGUGUUCGGUUGGUGGUUAUGCUCUAUAUAUACUGGUAAUUUUCGUCUACAGCUUCAGAGGAGGUAUCAUCUCGAGGUACUUCUUUCUCUCUUCCACCGUUUUCUUUGUAUGUGUCAUGAUAAAUCGCAUUCAGAAGAACAUCUACAAACAGUUGUAUUUGUUUCUACUAUAAGAAGUACACAAUUGCAUUCUCCAUCUGAGAUAGUUGUAUCAGGUAUGCAGGCGUCCAGAAGCAACUGCAUGGUUAAAGUUAUGUGUAUUGGUCCUCACUAAAAUAAAGUUCUGUAGUUUGGACGAGAGAGUUAUGUCAUCCAGCGAACUUCUGUCACUGUCAUGAAAUUUUUGCUUGGCACUGUCCACUGGCGGUAGCUGGUUAUAUCAUUGAAUUAUCAGACCAUUUCAUCAACCCUGUAUUGCUCAUCAUUGUGAGCAUGGAGGGUCCUUGACCACCUUUUCACGUAUAGUAUCGUUUUGUGGUCACUAAUUCUAAUCAGUUGUCAAGUCUAGCAUUUGAUAUGCGGGCUGGGCUUUUAGUUUCAUGCAUCAGUAUCACGGGCCUUUGGCUAACCAUCACAUAUUGUUCUGCUUCCACCAGAACUCUCCAUGCCCUCCUGGCAUAGUCCACUGCUGCUUCCCCUGGUGCGCGAACUGUCAGGAGCAUCGUGAAAGGAAAGGCCGCCUCGCAGAAAGCAGUGUUGUUCCAAUGACCAUUAUCAACCCGCCGCCGCUGCAAGAGAUGAGCAUGGUCGAGAACAACGCUCCCACAUCCGACAAUGAAGCUUCGAAGGCCGAGCAUGAUGAUGUGGAGGUCAUACCUCUCUAGGAAAGAUAAGCAUGAGAACUGAAACUGACAUGGAAUCUGCUAGCCCAUUUAGAGACUACCAUAUAUUGUUAAUAAUCACUGUCAUCUGCCAGGUACCGUAUGAAACAUUGGGCUGAUCCAGAUUUUAGUUUAUGACCAUUACUACCUAUGAUAGAUUGUUGACCGUGGGCAUAUAAUAUAUGUGUGGAGACCAUUACUACCUAUGAUAGAGUGUUGCCCGCGGGCAUAUAAUAUAUAUGUGUGGAGACCAUUACUACCUAUGAUAGAAUGUUGCCCGCGGGCAUAUAAUAUAUGUGUGGAUAUAUUUAUAUUUGUGAUUGGUAUGUCCUAUGUUCUAUCCACAUUAUGCAUUGCCUGUGUUCUUGACUUCUCGUUCAUGAACGUUAAGGCCUGUUUUGGUUCAAAGGAUAGGAAUAUCAUAGAAAUAGAAAAGAGAUGUCAUAC